rnacentral:lncRNA from 1 species
AUUCCUAAACUGUUGGGACCAAAACUCCCAAAAUCAAACCCAACCUUCCUUUAGUGGUCAUAAACCUUGUGUUUAAAUUUCAUAGAUUUCUAUCUACUUAAACUAAAGUUAUGGUGCGAAAACCAAGAAUAAUGCUUACUUGGGCCCCUUUUUGGCCCCUUAUUCCUAAACUGUUCAGACCUCAACUCCCAAAAUCAAUACCAACCUUCCUUUUGUG